UUUUCCCCAGCACAUUGAUAUUUUAUAAUGACACGUCUUGCAUCUAUUGUAAUCCACUUCAUUUUGUUGCCAGGCAGACAAUGAACUCAAACUCGGAUCCUUCAAAUCCAGUAUACUCACUUGAAUUGUCCCUUACAUCCAACCUCCAUUUUGUCUCAUCUCUCUUCCGGAAUGCCUAUGAUUCAGACAUCACUUCCUGUACUACAUCAGAAGCUCUGCUCAGAUGCCUGGUUAUCCUUGACUACCCCUCACAUUGAAGAAUGGGGGCCAAAUCCUCCAAACACACGUGUAGCGCUCCUGAGCUGUGAACGUCACUGUGGGGUGAUCUGACUUGGUAGCUUAUAUGAGGAAGCCUGGAUGUCCCCAGCUUCGGGUGUCUGAGCUUAGUCUGGCUAGGUUAUCCAGAGAAGGUCCUUUAGUCCCCUGGCUUGAAGGUGAAGGCCUGGCUGUUCCACAUCUACAAGCUGAAUGCAGGAGGGUUGCGGGAUGGUCUCAGCGUCCAGUGUUGUACACAAUCCCCCGGUUUCGCUGCGGUACCUCCACCCUCCAUGGAGAUCAGUCUCCAGAAAAAAAACAAGUCCUCCUUCUCUCACCAGGGUUGGUGGUUGUUGAGAUCCGGGAAUCUGACUACUUCAAAAACCAACUUUCAACCAGUGCUCAUCCUAGCCUUUCUGAUGCUCCCUCCCCUGCAAGUUCCAGACAGUACCCACCUCUGAGCUGCGGGUCCCACGUACACGGAGUUGGAUUUUAUCUGCCACUUCUGCCAAAUCAUCAGUCCUCUCGUCCAUCUGCUUUCCAGUUCAUAAAACUCACAGUGGAUAAGGAAUCAUCAGAGCAUCUCUAGUACCUGACACAUAUGCGGCAUACAGACAUCAGUUUCAGAAAUACCAGUUUCAGAAAGCUUCAAUUUGCAGUUGUAAAUUAAACAGGAAAAGCAGAAUUAUUAAGUCUUAAGUUACCAACGAAAGUCUUUAAAAGUUCUUUUUCAAAGAAUUUAACAUGAACUCAAAAAUUUCCUCUCUCAAGAGCUUCAGAGGUCAUCCUUGAUAAGAAGUCAGAUAAAAUACCCAACUACAGGAUACUCCAACACCAUGCUUCUAUGAAAAUACAACAGCUUUGUCUCAUUUUUAUAAAGAAAUUAAAACUA